UUAAAACCUCUGCUCUAACUCUCUCAAAGCCCAGAAAUAUCAUAUUUGUAUUCAUCCCGUAGACAAAACAUCAGAUUCUCGAUUUCCCUUCUUCUCUUCUUCAAUGGUUACUUACUUCAACCAUUGAAGCAUAUUCUUACCUAACCCGCUUCAAUUUUCUGACUUAAUUUGUCUAAAACAACAAAAACGGUAAAGAAACGAAGUCAACAGGAGAAAAAGAAAGAUGAAAAGCGAAAGAAAAUUUUGAAACCAGUUCCAAAAGGGAAAAAAGGAGAAACAAAGCCAUAUAGGUGCUCUUUACAUCAUUUUGAAUUUGCUUCAUCAUUUUCAUCUAUGAUUCGCUUAACUCUAUGAUUGGGAAGAAAAGACUUACAAAACCCAAUAGGUGCUCGUUGCAUCAUUUAUGUGAGGAGGCACCUGACAUCACUGAAAGAAAGGAUGGGUUGGACGUGUACCCUAGUGUUCAAAUUUUUUGAUAAUCUUCAAUCAUAAGUUUUUUCGCAGGUCACCGUAAGGGAUCAUUCUUACUUCAGUAUAGUGAAGAAGAAAAGGUCCGGUCCAACGCAUAGAGGAAGAGGAUAUUCAUGUUGAAGCGUACAUUGACCCUAAACUGCAGGUUGCUGAGCACAAUGAACAGUGUGUUGCUGGAAAUUCAAGGGCUAUUGCAAGUGAACUACAUGGUUUUGCUAGCAAUUGAGAGCAUAUUGCAAAUGAGAAGAAUAAUACUCGCAUGUCGUGCCAAACUUUUUUUUUUUUUACAUUUCUUCUUGUAGAUUCAUUUUUAGUUUGAAAUUUAAACUACCUGUAAAAUGAUUAUUGACUAAUUGUAAGGAUUACAAAUUACAGUUUAUACAAAAAAGAUGUCUAUUUGAUUCAA